CUGUAAAAGUCAUUGCCUGGGUGUGUUUCACUGCGUGGGCAUUUUUAUGGCAUUUAAAUGACGAGUGCCGGCUUUUAUUGCUCAGUUUUUUCCCCAAAUAUGUUUCCAAUUCGUCUCGUAUCUCCUUAACACGGGGAACCCCUUGUUUUUGUUCAUAUAUUUGUCUAAAGGAGGAGGAAAGUGAGAGGUAGCGAGAAAGGGAGCCAAUGCAGCAGGAAGGCAGGGCUCUGGUCCCCGCGGGUGGGAUGCAGGAGGAUGCUAGCCCAGAUCUGAGUCCUCGGGGCAGGGGACAGAUAACCGCCUUCCCUGCUCCCAGCUCCUGGCUUUCCUUUCCCCGGGCCGUCCCUGAAAAGAGCCCAGGAGGAAAGAGGCGCUUUAGAUUGGUUCUCAAGAGCAAACACGAAACCAAACUUAGCCCGCUUGCCCGUCUUUGCCUCGACUCCCAGAGACUAGGGCGCGGGCAAAUGCGAGCCGCCCUGUCCCUCCCGGGCCUGCUGACCGCGAGCUCGUCGCGCUGGCUCCAGCCAAAUGCACCGUGCGUUUCCUGCUCGUCAGCUCGCCUCCACCAGCCUGGAUGA
rnacentral:lncRNA from 1 species